ensembl:miRNA xtr-mir-301-1 xtr-mir-301-1
CUGCUAAUGUGUGCUCUGACUUUAUUGCACUACUGUACUAUACAGCUAGCAGUGCAAUAGUAUUGUCAAAGCAUCUGCAAGCAG